rnacentral:rRNA from 1 species
CAGUCGCCGCGGGAAUACGUAGGGUGCAAGCGUUAAUCGGAAUUACUGGGCGUAAAGCGUGCGCAGGCGGUGUUGUAAGACUGAUGUGAAACCCCCGGGCUCAACCUGGGAACUGCAUUGGUGACUGCAACGCUGGAGUGCGGCAGAGGGGGAUGGAAUUCCGCGUGUAGCAGUGAAAUGCGUAGAUAUGCGGAGGAACACCGAUGGCGAAGGCAAUCCCCUGGGCCUGCACUGACGCUCAUGCACGAAAGCGUGGGGAGCAAACAGGAUUAGAUACCCCCGUAGUCCCUGUCUCUUAUAC